UGUCAGUUCACUUUUCUGUUCCUGUUCCUACUAUUAUGAGUCUGGUUUCUGUAAUCUUGUCUUUGUCCUUACUGGCCAACAUAAUAUUCUUUGUUCUGUGGGUCCAACAAAGGAGGAGGCCUCAUAACCAUAAUUGCCAGAACAACAGAAACAGUUUCCACAGUCAUGAAGCUACCGCAGAUAUCUCCUUGUAUUGUCCAUUACAUUCAUCAUCAGACUCAGAUAAAAGCAGCAUGGAUAGAUUUGUACUCUUUAGAAAGAGCUCCACUGACAGCUGUGAGUGUCCUCACACAUCAUGAACUGUGUCUACAGCACUGAACAAGCAGAUCCACUGGGAACAUGAAAAUGAGGCAAAGUUAUAUGUGGACUGGGAUUGGACAGAAGAUUAUGGACCUGCAUAAUAUGAUGUAGGACUGGGCCACAUUUGCUUCAUUUGUGAGAUACUAUCAGUAAAUUUCACUGAGGAAGCAACGGUUAAGUUGUAAGAAGCUACACUCUUAAAGAAAUAAGAAGAAAGAAAUAGAAGACAGUCAGAUACUGAAAUGAGGAUUUCUUUUCCCACAUAAUAAGAAAUGAAUCAUUUAUUAAUAUUUGUUUCUUAAUGUGUGUAUAUAUACUUAAUGAAGUAUUAUUCACAGUGUCUUUAUUAUUAUUUACACUUAUAAAGCACCUUUCCCGUACCCAAUGAUGCAUUACAAUCAACACUGCUUUUACAUCCACACCUUUUCAUAGUAUUGUGUAUAAUAGAUGUUGUUGGUCUUAAAAUAUAACCCAAAGAAGACAGUGUCAUGGUGAGCUUCAGGUAUGAAGCACCGUUGAUGAAAAAAGCUGUGUUUGUAUGCGUGAGAGUGAAACUGCAAAAGGGGGUGGAAAUGCACAUGAGAGAGUGAAAGUACGCACGAGCGACUGGAAAGGCAUGCGAGAGCGAGUGAGUGAAAGUAUGCGCGAGCAAGAAAAACUACGUGAAAGAUGUUUGAUAUGGUGGACGAGCUUCAUGUCAUCCAUUGUUGGUAUACAUUGUUAUCAACAUGAGAAUAAAAAAGAUAUUUUUA